ACAGAACGAAUUUGCAGAUAAACCUACACGUGGCAAUAACCCAUUUGCCCCAUCAUUUCUUUGGAUAAGGAAAUGGAUGAGGGGUAACCAACAAGUCCCUUUGGCCUUUUUCAUACCAUUUCCUCAAAUACAAUCCAAAUCAAGCAUCUCAAAACUUAAAGAAAAAGAAGAAGGAGAAG